GAUGAACGCUAGCGGCAGGCCUAAUACAUGCAAGUCAAGGGGAUAGCAAUAUCACCGGCGGACGGGUGCGUAACGCGUACACAACGUGCCCAAGGGCGGAGGAAAGCGGCGGGAAACUGCCGGUAAUACUCCAUGGUGUUGUUGAGUGGCAUCACUUAACAACUAAAGUACAAGCGCCCUUGGAUCGGUGUGCGUUCGAUUAGCUAGUUGGCGGGGUAACGGCCCACCAAGGCUUCGAUCGAUAGGGGGUGUGAGAGCAUGACCCCCCCACACGGGUACGUGAGACACGGACCCGACUCCUACGGGAGGCAGCAGUAAGGAAUAUUGGACGAAUGGGCGGGAAGCCUGAUCCAGCCAUGCCGCGUGAAGGACGAAGGCGCUCAGCGUUGUAAACUU
rnacentral:rRNA from 1 species